GCGGCGCACGCCUAAUACAUGCAAGUCGAACGAAGUAGCAAUACUUAGUGGCAGACGGGUGAGUAACAUGUGGGUAUCUUCCCUUUGGUGAGGAAUAACACGAGGAAACUUGUGCUAAUACCUCAUAAGUCUUUACGGAGAAAGCUUUAUGCGCCAUUGGAUGAGCCCGCACUUGAUUAGUUUGUUGGUGGGGUAAUGGCCUACCAAGACUGUGAUCAAUAGCUGAUUUGAGAGGAUGAUCAGCCACAUUGGGACUGAGACACGGCCCAAACUCCUACGGGAGGCAGCAGUAGGGAAUCUUGCACAAUGGAGGAAACUCUGAUGCAGCGAUGCCGCGUGAGUGAAGAAGGCCUUUGGGUUGUAAAGCUCUUUCGUCGGGGAAGAAAAUGACUGUACCCGAAUAAGAAGGUCCGGCUAACUUCGUGCCAGCAGCCGCGGUAAUACGAAGGGACCUAGCGUAGUUCGGAAUUACUGGGCUUAAAGAGUUCGUAGGUGGUUAAAAUAGUUGGUGGUGAAAUCCCAGAGCUUAACUCUGGAACUGCCAUCAAAACUUUUUAGCUAGAGUAUGAUAGAGGAAAGCAGAAUUUCUAGUGUAGAGGUGAAAUUCGUAGAUAUUAGAAAGAAUACCAAUUGCGAAGGCAGCUUUCUGGAUCAUUACUGACACUGAGGAACGAAAGCAUGGGUAGCGAAGAGGAUUAGAUACCCUCGUAGUCCAUGCCGUAAACGAUGUGUGUUAGACGUUGGAAAUUUAUUUUCAGUGUCGCAGCGAAAGCGAUAAACACACCGCCC
rnacentral:rRNA from 1 species